GAGAUUCCGGUUCGGUUUCAGCAGAAAAUUGUGUUUAUUUUGCUUAUUUACAACUACGACGGCGUCUUUUGCACUUCGCUCGCCGCUCACAACUGCCAGCAGAUUUGGAUCCAGAUCAGAGCGAGCUUGAAAAAGCUCCCAGCCGGUUGAGUAAUAUUUUUGGGCCGUUGCAAAACCGAAAGUGUCUCUCGAAUUGUGUUUACCGAGCUUUAUCUAAUGCACACAAUGAACAUCACUGUUUAUCUUAGCAAUCUCGCGUCGGAGAAUAGGAUGUCCGAUAAAGAUACAACGAUUGUACACAUAGAAAAAUGUCGGUAAUUAAGUAAGCUUGGGGUAAACAAAGAAAAAAAUAAUCAAGGCCACCUUGUACGAAAAAUUUAAAAACAAGUACUAAAAAAUGAUAAUGAACCCAAAAAGCUGAGUGCGUUAAAACAGUAAACAAAACUAAAUUAAAAGUUUGCAUAGCCGAAUCAAAUGAAUUUAGAAAGCCAAUUUAAA